GACGAACCGAGCGAACGUUAUUCGGAAUCACUGGGCUUAAAGGGCGCGUAGGCGGGUGAUCAAGUCAGGGGUGAAAGCCCCCAGCUCAACUGGGGAAGUGCCUCUGAUACUGGUCGUCUCGAGGGAGGUAGGGGCGUGCGGAACUUCCGGUGGAGCGGUGAAAUGCGUAGAUAUCGGAAGGAACACCGGUGGCGAAAGCGGCGCGCUGGACCUCUUCUGACGCUGAGGCGCGAAAGCCAGGGGAGCGAACGGG
rnacentral:rRNA from 1 species